UACGGGGGGGGGCAAGCGUUUGUUCGGAAUUAUUGGGCGUAAAGGGCUCGUAGGCGGUUUGUCGCGUCGGGAGUGAAAACCCAGGGCUUAACCCUGGGCUGGCUUCCGAUACGGGCAGACUAGAGGUAUGCAGGGGAGAACGGAAUUCCUGGUGUAGCGGUGAAAAUGCGCAGAUAUCAGGAGGAACACCGGUGGCGAAGGCGGUUCUCUGGGCAUUACCUGACGCUGAGGAGCGAAAGUGUGGGGAGCGAACAGG
rnacentral:rRNA from 1 species